rnacentral:rRNA from 1 species
UACAGAGGUGGCAAGCGUUGUUCGGAAUUACUGGGCGUAAAGGGCGCGUAGGCGGCCUUGUAAGUCCUGUGUGAAAUCCCCCGGCUCAACUGGGGAACUGCACAGGAGACUGCUUGGCUUGAGUUCGGGAGAGGGAAGCGGAAUUCCGGGUGUAGCGGUGAAAUGCGUAGAUAUCUGGAGGAACACCGGUGGCGAAGGCGGCGUCCUGGACCAACACUGACACUGAGACGCGAAAGCGUGGGGAGCAAACAGG